CACAAGCAGCGGGAGCAAGUGGUUUAAUUGGAAGCAACGCGAAAGAACCUUACCUGGACUUGACAUCCCUUGCAUAGCCUGGGGGACGAGGGGAAGCCCUUCGGGGCAAGGAGACAGGUGGUGCAUGGUUGUAGUCAGCUCGUGUCGUGAGAUGUUAGGUUAAGUCCUGCAAACGAGCGCAACCCUUGUUAUUAGUUGCUACCAUUAAGUUGAGCACUCUAAUGAGACUGCCUGGGUAACCAGGAGGAAGGUGGGGAUGACGUCAAAUCAUCAUGCCCCUUAUGUCCAGGGCUACACACGUGCUACAAUGGUAGGUACAAUAAGAGGCAAGACCGUGAGGUGGAGCAAAACUUAUAAAGCCUAUCUCAGUUCGGAUUGUAGGCUGCAACUCGCCUACAUGAAGCUGGAGUUGCUAGUAAUCGCGAAUCAGAAUGUCGCGGUGAAUACGUUCCCGGGCCUUGUACACACCGCCCGUCACACCAUGAGAGCUGGUAACACCCGAAGUCCGUGAGGCAACCGUAAGGAGCCAGCGGCCGAAAGGGGGGGAAAGGGGCUAU
rnacentral:rRNA from 1 species